GAACGCUGAAGAGAGGAGCUUGCUCUUCUUGGAUGAGUUGCGAACGGGUGAGUAACGCGUAGGUAACCUGCCUUGUAGCGGGGGAUAACUAUUGGAAACGAUAGCUAAUACCGCAUAACAAUGGAUGACACAUGUCAUUUAUUUGAAAGGGGCAAUUGCUCCACUACAAGAUGGACCUGCGUUGUAUUAGCUAGUAGGUGAGGUAACGGCUCACCUAGGCGACGAUACAUAGCCGACCUGAGAGGGUGAUCGGCCACACUGGGACUGAGACACGGCCCAGACUCCUACGGGAGGCAGCAGUAGGGAAUCUUCGGCAAUGGGGGCAACCCUGACCGAGCAACGCCGCGUGAGUGAAGAAGGUUUUCGGAUCGUAAAGCUCUGUUGUAAGUCAAGAACGAGUGUGAGAGUGGAAAGUUCACACUGUGACGGUAGCUUACCAGAAAGGGACGGCUAACUACGUGCCAGCAGCCGCGGUAAUACGUAGGUCCCGAGCGUUGUCCGGAUUUAUUGGGCGUAAAGCGAGCGCAGGCGGUUUGAUAAGUCUGAAGUUAAAGGCUGUGGCUCAACCAUAGUUCGCUUUGGAAACUGACAAACUUGAGUGCAGAAGGGGAGAGUGGAAUUCCAUGUGUAGCGGUGAAAUGCGUAGAUAUAUGGAGGAACACCGGUGGCGAAAGCGGCUCU
rnacentral:rRNA from 1 species